GGGUCUCGUUCUGUCGCCCAGGCUGGAGUGCAUUGGCACGAUCUGGGCCUACUGCAACCUCUGCCUCCAGGGUUCAAGUAAUUCUGAUGCCUCAGCCUCCCGAGUAGCUGAGACUACAGGUGUGCCCCAUGACGCCCAGCUAUUUUUUUUUUUAAGACAGAAUCUAGCUCUGUCGCCCAGGCUGGAGUGCAGUGGCGUGAUCUGGGCUGACUGCAACCUUUUCCUCCCACGUUCAAGCGUUCUCCUGCCUCAGCCUCCCAAGUGCUGGGAUUACAAGUGUGCACCACCAGGCCUGGCUAAUUUUUGUAUUUUUAGUAGAAUCGGGGCUUCACCAUGUUGGCCAGACUGGUCUGGAACUCCUGGCCUCAAGCGAUCCAUCCGCCUCAACCUUCCAAAGUUCUGGGAUUACAGGCGUGAGCCCCUGCGCCUGGCCUUACUUUUUGUAUUUUUAGUCGAGACAGGGUUUCAGCAUGUUGGCCAGGUUGGUCUCAAACUCCUGACCUCAAGCAAGCCCACCUUGGCCUCCCAGAGUGUUGGGAUUACAGGCAUGAACCACCGCGCCUGGCCUGGGCUGCUUUGCCUUCAAACUGGUCAGUUGCAAAGCUGUCCUCUGAACUGUCCUCUCUGCCUCCUCCCUCAAACCUGCUUUGAGCGGGUUUCUCCUUGUUGCCAACCCGGUCCUUCUCCUCCCCUUCCUUUGAGUGUGCCAUGGUGGGCCCUGUGCUUACAUCCAUGGGGUUGCUUCACUGAACCCUGCUCCAUCCCGGUCACCAUGCAUGCUCCUGCCAGCUGGCCUCAGUCAUCACAGCUUGGAGUCCCCCCAACCCCACCCAAGGAACACACUUUGUCAAAGGUCACAGUCAAGGGACUGCAUGGCCCUUGGCGCAGUGGCCUCACCAGGCCACACUCUGCCCUUUCUUUCUGGGCCCCUGGGCCCUGCAUUGCCUUCUAUCAGGGCUGGUGGCCGCUGCUCCACCUUCUCCCCCGGGAGCUGUGCAUGGCAGUUCCCUCCGUGGGAGCCACUCUCUCCCGGGGUUUGUUUCUCCUCAGAACCUUCUCAUCUUGGUCACUGUGAAGUCAGGCCCCAGUUGUGACACCUCACUUGACACCCACAAGUCUUGGCCCCUGCUCUCUAAGCUCAUUUGCCAACAGCAGUAUCUCCAUUUCAUGCCCAGGGGUGACACUGACCCCAUGGUUAUAGAGAUGGACGAUGCUGUGUGAGAACUGGGCUGAGCCAUGCCAGUGGCCUGUGACCCUCCAGCCCUGGGUGCCACCCCCCACCUGCCCUAGGGGACCCCCACUGAUGUGGUCUCUGCUGACACCUGCGCCUGUGCCUGGGGUCCCUGUCAUCCUUCCCUGGUCUGAGUGGCAAGUCUCCUGCCAUCCCUGUCCCCGCUAUGCAGUGAGCUCUCCAGCCUGGGCCCGCCUGGUAGCUCACGCUCCUCUCCACUGUGCCUGGUUUAGGGCGAGUGCUGAGGCUGGAGCUGACCCUGCCCUGGCCUUCAGGGUCUUGGCUUCGUUCCACCCGCACUGGUCCAAGUCCAGCCUGGUUGCCUAGUGAAGGAUCCACAGUGGGUACAUAAAGGGCCAAGUGCUGUCCACAUGGGCACAUCCCAUGUGGGCGUGAGUGCUCCCUGGAAUCCCCAGACAAGCCUGCCUCUCAGUGGGGCUCAGCUCAGAGGCAUAGACCCUGGAGGGCUGAGUCUGCCUGUGUGUGUGUGCGUGUGUGUGUGUGUGUGAGACAGAGCGAGAGAGAGAGAGACGGAUGGGGGGAGUGUGUGUAUCAAUGAGAGAGAUGGAGAAAGUUGUGUGUGAAAGGGAUUGAAUAUUUCAGAAAAUGAAUGAGAGAGAUUGGGAGAGAUGGUGGGAGGUGGAGUGGGAGAGAGACCUGUUGUUUAAGAGGGAGACUGAGUGACUCCGAGAAUGAGGGGGAAAGAUACGGAGACAGGAUAAGCUGCAGGGAGAGAGAGAGAGAGAGGGAUUGAACUGGAGUGAGACCAACAGAGCCCUGAUGCUGGAUGAUUUGGGAGGAUUUGGUGGGUUCUCAGUGACCCCACUGAGGCCUGACCCACAAGUGGAAAAGGCUCACCUCCUGUAAGUGACCAGACUGUGGGGUGUAAUUGUGUGUGUGUUUGUGUGUGUGUGUGUGUCUGUGUGUGUGUUGGCGUCGCCCUGAUGGCCUCUUGGAGGGUCCUGGGGCGGGUGGGUCUUGGGCAUGUAGUGCCCUCUGCCCUCAUUCUUUCUUCAUCUAGGCUCCCUGCCCCUGUUGGGGUGAGAAGCACAGAUGUCAGCUUGCUGAGCUGCAGGUACCAUGACAAUCCCAAGUGGAACUGCUCUUGGGGAGCUGGGUGGGGAGGGGCCACUGGGCAGGAUUUAUGGGACCUGGGCAGGGCUAGGCAGAGGUGUGGGGAGCAGUGUGGGCCAGAGGGUGACUGGGGAUUGGGGUGAGUGGGGUGGGGUGCGGCUGUGCUCACCCCUCCCACCCAGCCCCACCCUGAGGCUGGUCUCCAGCUCGUGAGCAGAGGCCGAGAGAAGGCCCUUCCUGAUCAUGGGGUCCUGUCUCCUCCGUGUCUGGCAGCCCUCAUCUAGCCAGGCGGCCAGCAAGGACUUCCGGUGUCACACACGGGAGGGGUGAGGGCUUUGCUGGCUGCAGGGUUAGGAGUAGGUGCAGCCUGUGGGGCCCAGGAGAGCCCUGGGGUGGGGAACAAGAACAGGUCUGAGAGAAGGGGGAGCACCAGGGCCACCUGCAGCCUCCACCCAGCCCAGCUCUGGAGGCUUUGCCCCCACCCCGCCCCCAUGGCAGACGUGCUCCCUAGAGGCUGGUGGGGACCUGGGAGAGGGGCAUGUGCACACAUUUCAUGGGGAUAGUGGGGGAUUCUGGGAGCCAGCCUGGAUGGGGGCUCAGAGGUGGGAGGGGCCCUGAGGCCUGAGGUGGCGGAAGGAGCUCACCUAUCUCAAGCCCUGGCCCUCGCCAGGUUCCUAGUACCUGGCCGGAUACCCCAGGAUGGCCUGGGAUCCUGGAGAGUGCACGGGAAACUCAGGAGGAGUGUGGACACGGCUCCUCUCCUUCCACCCACUUCCCCGGCCCUGAGGGCAUUGCUGGGCCACCAUCCCAGACCUGGGGCAUGUGUCACAGGGCUGCCAGGAGGGCACAGGGCCCAAGGAUUCCCCAGGGAUGCCAGGCCCCCUGUGGGCCCUCAGGACUGGUCGCCCUGGGCCCCCUGGCGCUUUGUAGGGAGGUGCUCAGCAGUGAUGGUUGUGUGCCUGUCACACCCGCCCACCUGUGCCUCCCCCAACCUGCCACGCCCAUUGUCCUACACCCAGCACACACUCCCCUCCACGCUGCGCACGUGAACCCGCCCGGGUCACGCACCUGCCCUGCCAUGGUGACGGGACUGUGUGGGAUCUCUGCCUUCCUGCCUGAAGUUCCUGCCACUGGGACCUGUCACAGCUGGGCUGAUGUGGAUUUCCAGGCAUCCUCAGCGGGACCCAUGGCCUGGGGUCGCCACCUUCCUGAGCUGUGUGGAUCUCAGCCAGGACUUCUUGUCCCUGAGAACAGAUUGGGGCUGGGAGUCCCAGCCUGUCCCUGGACCAGCCCUGCCAUCAGCUUGCCCAGCCUAGUUCCCUUUCUCUUCUGUGCUCUGAAUGUGCACUCCGCGUGUUUAGAUGCUCAUGGUUUCUGAUGAGAAGUUGGCUGUGUCUCUCAUGGAGCCUCUCUCGAAGGUGAUGAGUGACUUUUCUUUUGCUGCCGUCAAGAUUCCUGGCUGUGGAUUGGAUGGCUGGGAAGCUCUGUCCCUGAACAGCCCUUGUGACUAUGGGGCUGUCCUUCCACAGUGUGCACUGAGGGUGCAGGCCAAACCUUUUAAAGAAUAAACAGAAAGAAAUCGGCUCUCUCACAUUUUGGAAGUUGGUGAAAACAGACUCUUCCGGGGAAUUUUAACUUUUUAUCAUCCUAUUUACUCUGGAAAGCCUUGUCUCGUGUUUUAGAGCUUGUAGGGUUUAAUAAAACUAGUUAACAGCCAGGCAUGGUGGUUCAUGCCUGUAAUUCCAGCACUUUGGGAGGCCGCGGCAGAUAGGUCACUUGAGGUCAGGAGUUCGAGACCAUCCUGGCCAACAUGGCGAAACCCCGUCUCUACUAAAAAUACAAAAACUAGCCAGGUGUGGUGGUGGGCACCUGUGGUCCUGGGGAGGCUGAGACACGAGAAUUGCUUGAACUGGGGAGACUGAGGUUGCAGUGAGCCGAGCUGGAGUGCCAUUGCACUCCAGCUUGAGUGACAGAGCUAGAUGCUAUCUCAAAAAUAAAUAAAUAAAUAGAUAAAUAAAAAUAAAA